UACGUAGGCAGCAAGCGUUGUUCGGAGUUACUGGGCGUAAAGAGUAUGUAGGCGGUUGCGUAAGUUCGGUGUGAAAUCUCCCGCUUAACUGGGAGGGUGCGCCGAAAACUGCGUGGCUUGAGUGCGGGAGAGGAGAGCGGAAUUCCUGGUGUAGCGGUGAAAUGCGUAGAUAUCAGGAGGAACACCGGCGGUGUAGACGGCUCUCUGGACCGUAACUGACGCUGAGAUACGAAAGCGUGGGUAGCAAACAGG
rnacentral:rRNA from 1 species